GAUGAACGCUGGCGGCGUGCUUAAUACAUGCAAGUCGAGCGAACGGACGAGAAGCUUGCUUCUCUGAUGUUAGCGGCGGACGGGUGAGUAACACGUGGAUAACCUACCUAUAAGACUGGGAUAACUUCGGGAAACCGGAGCUAAUACCGGAUAAUAUUUUGAACCGCAUGGUUCAAAAGUAAAAGACGGUCUUGCUGUCACUUAUAGAUGGAUCCGCGCUGCAUUAGCUAGUUGGUAAGGUAACGGCUUACCAAGGCAACGAUGCAUAGCCGACCUGAGAGGGUGAUCGGCCACACUGGAACUGAGACACGGUCCAGACUCCUACGGGAGGCAGCAGUAGGGAAUCUUCCGCAAUGGGCGAAAGCCUGACGGAGCAACGCCGCGUGAGUGAUGAAGGUCUUCGGAUCGUAAAACUCUGUUAUAGGGAAGAACAUAUGUGUAAGUAACUGUGCACAUCUUGACGGUACCUAAUCAGAAAGCCACGGCUAACUACGUG
rnacentral:rRNA from 1 species